rnacentral:rRNA from 1 species
CGAGUGGCGGACGGGUGAGUAAUGUCUGGGAAACGUGCCCGAUGGAGGGGGAUAACUACUGGAAACGGUAGCUAAUACCGCAUAACGUCGCAAGACCAAAGAGGGGGACCUUCGGGCCUCUUGCCAUCGGAUGUGCCCAGAUGGGAUUAGCUAGUAGGUGGGGUAAAGGCUCACCUAGGCGACGAUCCCUAGCUGGUCUGAGAGGAUGACCAGCCACACUGGAACUGAGACACGGUCCAG